rnacentral:rRNA from 1 species
CACGGAAUUAGCCGGUCCUUAUUCAUACAGUACCUACAAAUAACCACACGUGGCUAACUUUAUUCCUGUAUAAAAGCAGUUUACAACCCAUAGGGCCGUCAUCCUGCACGCUACUUGGCUGGUUCAGGCUCUCGCCCAUUGACCAAUAUUCCUCACUGCUGCCUCCCGUAGGAGUUUGGACCGUGUCUCAGUUCCAAUGUGGGGGACCUUCCUCUCAGAACCCCUACUGAUCGUUGCCUUGGUGGGCCGUUACCCCGCCAACAAGCUAAUCAGACGCAUCCCCAUCCAUAACCGAUAAAUCUUUAUUCCUCAUCCGAUGCCUUCAGAGGAAAUUAUAAGGUAUUAGUCUUACUUUCGCAAGGUUAUUCCUUAGUUGUGGGCAGGUUGGAUACGCGUUACUCACCCGUGCGCCGGUCGUCGACAAGGAAAGCAAGCUUCCCUCUCGUUACCCCUCGACUUGCAUGUGUUAAGCCUGUAGCUAGCGUUCAUCCUGAGCCAGGAUCAAACUCU